UGGGGAAUAUUGCACAAUGGACGCAAGUCUGAUGCAGCAACGCCGCGUGGAGGAUGACGCAUUUCGGUGUGUAAACUCCUUUUAUAGGGGAAGAUAGUGACGGUACCCUAUGAAUAAGCACCGGCUAACUCCGUGCCAGCAGCCGCGGUAAUACGGAGGGUGCCAGCGUUACUCGGAAUCACUGGGCGUAAAGGAUGCGUAGGCUGGAAAUCAAGUCGAAAGUGAAAUCCAACGGCUCAACCGUUGAACUGCUUUCGAAACUGAUUACCUAGAAUAUGGGAGAGGUAGAUGGAAUUAGUGGUGUAGGGGUAAAAUCCGUAGAUAUCACUAGGAAUACCGAUUGCGAAGGCGAUUUACUGGAACAUUAUUGACGCUGAGGCACGAAAGCGUGGGGAGCAAACA
rnacentral:rRNA from 1 species